GAAAGUAAAGAUUAUGAGUCAUUUCUUGUAGAAUUCUCAAAUAUCCUGAUGUAUUUCCCAAAAUGUCUAAAUAUUAAUAUAUAAGAAAGUGAAAAUAAUAGAAGUUAACUGAAAAUACUUGAACUGUUUUUGCAAUAGGAAUGUAUCUCAAUCCUUUGGAGAGUCUUCUAGAGAUUGAAAGGCAUUUUUAAUUAUUUAUUCUACAUUGGCUAAAGCAUAUUCUAAUAGAUUUUAGGAUUUAAAUAGCUUAAAUAUAAUGGUAAAUUAGUCAAGUUGGGAAAUGGUAAGUCACUUUCCAACAUUAAAAACCAAGAAAAAUUAAUCCCCGUCUUUGUUUAGUAAAGCUGUAGCCUCUUUGAUCCUUGGAUACUUCCAUUUGAAAGACUGGAGGUUCAAAAAAGGGACUUGCAGGAAGUUGGGGAAGGGGUUAUUACAAAAUCUUUACACUCAUCAAAAAUCCCAUUGUGUACACGGCUGUGCACACAUACACACACACACACACACAUAGAUAUGCACACACACACAAUAGAAAGGCUUUUGUUUCCCUGUAGGAUGAAAAUGUAAAUAAUGAUUGGCUAAAUAAAAUAUAUUAGGGAAGCAAUAAAAGUGGUAGGAACUGAGUGCUGGUCCUAUCUAAAGGGAAGGACUCUAAACAGUGCCAAUUUAUUGUUACAAAUUUAGUAAUUUUUCAAAAAAUACAUUUGGAAAUAUGAAAUUUUAUGUAAAUAUACCCAAGUUUAAAAUGUCCACAACUUAUUCAAUUUUUACUCUUUAUGCAGGAAAAGCAGCACAUGAACUGGCUGAAUUUGGUCACUGGCUUCCAAUGUUCCGCCUGCUGUAUUGUGCCCUUAGGUAUUCUUGGAAUUGUGUACAUGUGAAUAUCUUUUUUUAUUUCUUUCACAGAUCUUGUAGUCAUUUAUUUGACUAAUUGAUACUUUAGAUAAGCUGUGAAGGGAAGAGUAAUAUUCCCUUCAUGAAACGAAACUGGAAUGUAGGACUUGUAUGUUCCAAAAGGAGAUUGAAAGUAAAGGUGGUUGGCUUUCUAGACCUUCAUCCAGAGAACUUACAUCAUUAACAAAGGUAUUUGGCUAAAAGUUUAUUCAUGUUCAAUCUAUCAAUACUAUUCACAUUGCCUAUAUCACUGCACUGUCACGUCUUCAGCAGCUAGUGUCUAAGUUAAUGAAUGGACAGAAAACUUAGGAUUCAAAUAUGAGAAUUCUCAAUUAAGAUUGAAUCUCAUUUUGAUAAAGAAAAACAGAAUAAAACCAGUAUUUCAAAUAGAAAGAUCACACUACUGGACUCCAACCUGGGCAACAGAGUGAGAGCCUGUUUCAAAAUAAACAUAAUUAAAUAAAAAUUAGUAUUCAAAUAGUUGACUAUAAAUAUUGUUUUUUUAAAUUUGUUUAACUUUUAAAAAUAUAGGGUUUUUUUUU
rnacentral:lncRNA from 1 species